rnacentral:rRNA from 1 species
AAGCACUUUAUAUGUGUGACGAUGUGCUUUUUGUAGAACGAGCCAACGAGUUACGAUAUGUAGCGAGGUUAAGUACUUAAGGUACGGAGCCGAAGGGAAACCGAGUCUGAAUAGGGCGCAAAGUUGCAUGUCGUAGACCCGAAACCGGGUGACCUAUCCAUGGCCAGGAUGAAGCGACAGUAAAAUGUCGUGGAGGUCCGAACCACGUUGGUGUUGAAAAACCAUGGGAUGAGCUGUGGAUAGCGGAGAAAUUCCAAUCGAACUCGGAGAUAGCUGGUUCUCCUCGAAAUAGCUUUAGGGCUAGCGUCGAUUAACUGAGUACUGGAGGUAGAGCACUGAAUAGGCUAGGGGGCAUACCGCUUACCGAACCUUAUCAAACUCCGAAUGCCAGAUACUUUUAUUUCGGCAGUCAGACUGCGAAUGAUAAGAUCCGUAGUCAAAAGGGAAACAGCCCAGACCAUCAGCUAAGGUCCCAAAGUGUAAGUUAAGUGGUAAAGGAUGUGGGAUUUCUAAGACAACUAGGAUGUUGGCUUAGAAGCAGCCACUCAUUUAAAGAGUGCGUAAUAGCUCACUAGUCAAGAGAUCCUGCGCCGAAGAUGUCCGGGGCUAAAACUUACCACCGAAGCUAUGGGUGUGCACUUAAUGUGUACGCGGUAGAGGAGCUUUCUGCAUUGGCUGAAGUCGUACCGAAAGGAGCGGUGGACGAUGCAGAAGUGAGAAUGUUGGCAUAAGUAGCGAGAGCCAGGUGAGAAUCCUGGCGGUCGAAAAUCUAAGGUUUCCUGGGGAAGGCUCGUCCGCCCAGGGUUAGUCGGGACCUAAGGCGAGGCCGAAAGGCGUAGUCGAUGGACAACAGGUUGAUAUUCCUGUACCACUAGCGUACGUUUGUACAGAUGGGGUGACGCAGGAGGAUAGGAUGUGCACACUAUUGGAUGUGUGUCUAAGCACUUAGGGAGUUUCGGUAGGCAAAUCCGCUGAAACAAUUCUGAGGUGUGAUGGGGAGCUAAUUUUAGCGAAGUAUCUGAUUCCACGCUGCCAAGAAAAGCCUCUAUGGAGGAAGCUAGUGCCCGUACCGCAAACCGACACAGGUAGAUGAGGAGAGAAUCCUAAGACCAUCGGAAGAAUUGCUGUUAAGGAACUCGGCAAAUUGACCCCGUAACUUCGGGAGAAGGGGUGCCUACGAAAGUAGGUCGCAGAGAAUAGGCCCAAGCAACUGUUUAGCAAAAACACAGGUCUCUGCUAAAGCGAAAGCUGAUGUAUAGGGGCUGACGCCUGCCCGGUGCUGGAAGGUUAAGGGGAUUGCUUAGCGCAAGCGAAGGCAUGAACUUAAGCCCCAGUAAACGGCGGCCGUAACUAUAACGGUCCUAAGGUAGCGAAAUUCCUUGUCGGGUAAGUUCCGACCCGCACGAAUGGCGUAAUGAUUUGGGCACUGUCUCAACAGCAAAUCCGGCGAAAUUGUAGUGCAAGUGAAGAUGCUUGCUACCCGCGAUUGGACGGAAAGACCCCGUAGAGCUUUACUGCAAUUUAGCAUUGAGUUUCGGUAUUAUCUGUACAGGAUAGGUGGGAGACUUGGAAGCAAUGGCGUCAGCUGUUGUGGAGUCGACCUUGGGAUACCACCCUGAUAGUACUGGAAUUCUAACCGGAGGCCAUGAAUCUGGUCACGGGACAUUGUUAGGUGGGCAGUUUGACUGGGGCGGUCGCCUCCUAAAAAGUAACGGAGGCGCCCAAAGGUUCCCUCAGAACGGUCGGAAAUCGUUCGAAGAGUGCAAAGGCAGAAGGGAGCCUGACUGCGACACAUACAGGUGGAGCAGGGACGAAAGUCGGGCUUAGUGAUCCGGUGGUUCCUCGUGGGAGGGCCAUCGCUCAACGGAUAAAAGCUACCUCGGGGAUAACAGGCUGAUCUCCCCCAAGAGUCCACAUCGACGGGGAGGUUUGGCACCUCGAUGUCGGCUCGUCGCAUCCUGGGGCUGAAGUAGGUCCCAAGGGUUGGGCUGUUCGCCCAUUAAAGCGGCACGCGAGCUGGGUUCAGAACGUCGUGAGACAGUUCGGUCCCUAUCCGUCGCGGGCGUAGGAAAUUUGAAGGGAGCUGUCCUUAGUACGAGAGGACCGGGAUGGACCAACCUCUGGUGCACCAGUUGUCACGCCAGUGGCAUAGCUGGGUAGCUAUGUUGGGAAGGGAUAAACGCUGAAAGCAUCUAAGCGUGAAGCCCACCCUAAGAUGAGAUUUCCCAUAACGUAAGUUAGUAAGACUCCUGGAAGACUACCAGGUUGAUAGGUGAGGGGUGUAAGCAUGGUAACAUGUUCAGCUGACUCAUACUAAUAAGUCGAGGGCUUGACCU